GAUGAACGCUGGCGGCGUGCCUAAUACAUGCAAGUCGAACGAAGGUAGCAAUACCUUAGUGGCGAACGGGUGAGUAACACGUAGGUAACCUGCCUUUCAGUUGGGGAUAACCGAGGGAAACUUUGGCUAAUACCGAAUUCGUGCUUCGAAGGCAUCUUCGGAGCAUAAAAGGGGCCUUUAAAGCCUCGCUGAUUGAUGGACCUGCGGCGCAUUAGUUAGUUGGUGAGAUAACAGCCCACCAAGACGAGGAUGCGUAGCCGACCUGAGAGGGUGAUCGGCCACACUGGAACUGAGACACGGUCCAGACUCCUACGGGAGGCAGCAGUAGGGAGUUUUCGGCAAUGGGGGAAACCCUGACCGAGCAACGCCGCGUGAGUGAUGAAGGUCUUCGGAUUGUAAAGCUCUGUUAUAAGGGAAGAACGGCAGCUAGAGGAAAUGCUAGCUGUUUGACGGUACUUUAUGAGAAAGCCACGGCUAACUACGUG
rnacentral:rRNA from 1 species